CAGAAGAUAGUUCAACUUAGAAUUCUGGCUUUGGGAGCCAGGGGUGGGAGUUAAAAUCUCUCUUUUCUGG
rnacentral:tRNA from 2 species